rnacentral:rRNA from 1 species
AGGACGAACGCUGGCGGCGUGCUUAACACAUGCAAGUCGAGCGGUAAGGCCUUUCGGGGUACACGAGCGGCGAACGGGUGAGUAACACGUGGGUGAUCUGCCCUGCACUUCGGGAUAAGCCUGGGAAACUGGGUCUAAUACCGGAUAUGACUUCAGGUUGCAUGACUUGGGGUGGAAAGAUUUAUCGGUGCAGGAUGGGCCCGCGGCCUAUCAGCUUGUUGGUGGGGUAAUGGCCUACCAAGGCGACGACGGGUAGCCGACCUGAGAGGGUGACCGGCCACACUGGGACUGAGACACGGCCCAGACUCCUACGGGAGGCAGCAGUGGGGAAUAUUGCACAAUGGGCGAAAGCCUGAUGCAGCGACGCCGCGUGAGGGAUGGACGGCCUUCGGGUUGUAAACCUCUUUCAGCAGGGACGAAGCGCAAGUGACGUACCUGCAGAAGAAGCACCGGCUAACUACGUGCCAGCAGCCGC